rnacentral:lncRNA from 1 species
GAAGGAUUCAGUUCACCAUGAUAUACUUUCUUUGAGUGGAGGUAUUCCAUACCCCUUGCAAUCUGAAGCAGUAAAUCAAUUGCAACUGGAAGAGAAAAUGGUACGCGCUUUCUUGGUCCACAGAUCUCUUUGAUGUAACUAGAUAAAUCUUUGUUCAUUAGUUCCAUGAUUAAGAAACAUUCUCUCUUUUCUUCAUCAGUGAAACCGCAGGAGAUGUGCAUUAUAUUUGGAUGCGAGAGACUCAGUUCUUUAGUGAUCUCUGGAAUCAGGGGCUUAAUAUCCCCAAACAAAUGCCUUAAACAGAAGGUUUCCCCCAACCAUUGGAUCUCCUUGUAUU